rnacentral:rRNA from 1 species
UUGGAGGGCAAGUCUGGUGCCAGCAGCCGCGGUAAUUCCAGCUCCAAUAGCGUAUAUUAAAGUUGUUGCAGUUAAAAAGCUCGUAGUUGAAUUUCGGGAUCAAUUUAUCGGUCGUGCCAAUGGUAUGAACUGGUACAAUUGGUUUCUCCCUUCUGACGAAGCAUGAUGUCAUUAAUUUGGUGUCGUGGGGAAUCAGGACUGUUACUUUGAAAAAAUUAGAGUGUUCAAAGCAAGCAUUAGCUUGAAUACAUUAGCAUGGAAUAAUGAAAUAGGACGUUUGAUCCUAUUUCGUUGGUUUCUAGGAUCGACGUAAUGAUUAAUAGGGAUAGUUGGGGGCAUUAGUAUUCAAUUGUCAGAGGUGAAAUUCUUGGAUUUAUUGAAGACUAACUACUGCGAAAGCAUUUGCCAAGGAUGUUUUCAUUAAUCAAGAACGAAAGUUAGGGGAUCGAAGACGAUCAGAUACCGUCGUAGUCUUAACCAUAAACUAUGCCGACUAGGGAUCGGAUGAUGUUAAUUUUUUAAUGACUCAUUCGGCGCCUUACGGGAAAA